AGAGAGGUCAAGCUUGCUAUGGGUUCAGCCUUUCGGCCUGGUACUUAUUCUAAUCUGAAGAGUCAACUUAAUGCAUACCAUAUUUUUUGUGUGUUUUAUAAAUUUCGACCAUUUCCUUGUAUUAAGGAUACAUUGUGUGCUUAUGCAUGUUUUCUAUCAAGAGUUUAAGCAGUUUUUCAUCUGUUAAGAAUUCUAUUUCUGGCAUUAAGACCUGGAGUCAACUGUUUGGUUUUACUGUGGAACCAUUUUUAUUUACAGAAUUGAAAUUGACUUUAAGAGAAUUGAGCCAUAAGAAUCAGCAUGUGGCUGUGUCGAAAUUGCCACUGUUGCCGACACAUUUAAUUGAUAUUGUUAAGUUGUUGAAUAUUUAUAAUUAUUUAGAUGCUUGUUUAUGGUGUUUUCUAACGUUUGCUCUUUUCGGUAUGCUUAGGGCGUCAAAUCUAGUCAGCAGGAGCUCUACAUCUUUUAAUUCUCGUGAACAAUUGAUCAGAGAGAAUGUUGUUGUGAGUGAAAAGGGUAUCCUUCUUUUAUUGAAAUGGUCAAAGACUAGACAAGAUCAUGAUUACACACAUCAGGUUUCUCUAUGUUGCUCAGUCGAGCCAUUAAUGUGUCCUGUUCGAGCUUAUAAGCAUCUUGUGUCUUUAAUACCUGGUGAUAAGAAUGCUCCCGUUUUUGCUUUACCUGUAAUGGUAAAUUAUUGCCGUUAUCUAGAUCAGUUUUAUUGGACCGUUUUAGAGAGUUAAUUGUUCUUGUUGGUUUAGACCCUUCAGUUUAUUCUUUCCAUUCGUUGAGGCACGGAGUGGCUACAUUAGCCACCAAGGCUGGCAUUCCUGAGAUUUUAUUGAAACAUCAUGGAGACUGGGAUCUAACUGUUUUCAGACUUACAUUUAACAGGCUAGUGUUGAUAUGUAUCGGGUUACGUCAGCCAUGAAUUAUUUGAUUGGUUGUCAGUUUUAGGGUAUGUGCGCCGGGGUAUUAUUAUAUUUUUGGUUUGUUGUUUUUUAAUAUGUUCAUAUACAUGUAUAUAUAUUUUUUUUCUCCCUCGGUUUGGCGACUUCGUUUUGGGUUCAGGUGCUUCAUAUUAACACUUUGUUCAUUGUAGCUUAUUGAUACCAUGCUUGGUGUAACUAUAUUUGAAUGCAUUAUUAUAAUAAAGCACCUUUCGCCAAACACUAUUAGUUGUCAAUUGCGUACAAUGGGAGGCAACUCUCAUUGUACCUAAUUGAUAACGCCUUGUAAGAGAUUGCUUCCCUUUGAUUCUUCAUCCGGGUUUAUAUUACCAUGUGGUUUUAAGCAAAAGAGCAUGUUCCAGCCACUUUUAAUUAUGUAAUUGAUGUAAAACAUUUUUUUUUUCUUUUUCUUUUUAUUGUUAAUCUUUUCUAAUUACUUUUAUUAUUACCCACAUUGGGGUUCAGGUGCUUCAUAUUAACACUUUGUUCAUUGUAGCUUAUUGAUACCAUGCUUGGUGUAACUAUAUUUGAAUGCAUUAUUAUAAUAAAGCACCUUUCGCCAAACACUAUUAG
rnacentral:lncRNA from 1 species